GUAGGUGAACUGCAGAAGGAUCA
rnacentral:rRNA from 1 species